rnacentral:lncRNA from 1 species
GGAACUGAAUCAUGGAAGCACUGUCAGGCUUAGAUCUUAUGAUACAUAGGCAUUGUCCCACCAGACAUGAGGUAAUAUUUGAUUCCUGUAUGUAGAGCUUCUUCCUACUACUGCUGCUUUAGAUUUUACAUAUUAAAUUUUUGAGGAGCUUUACUUCUCCAACUGUAGGUUAGUUUCAAAUUUCAUCAUAUCCAUAGUUGUUUUAGUCUGAUGGAUAGUUAGUUUGAUGUCUUAUUUUAUGAUGUUUUCUGAAUAUUAGGCUGUGCCCUGAUACCUUAGUCCGACCUUGGAAUACAUUUACAUGUAUUGAUUAUGGGAUAACAAAAUAUCAUUUUGUAGACUGAACCGAUUAUGGCGAUAGCACAUUGAUAUUUUGAUUUUUGACAAUUUGAAGAACCGAUAUUUAUUAUACAAUAGGAUAUAUCAUAUAUGUGUAGCAUUAUUUGGUUUGAAAGA